GCUCUCACUGCAGCCGUUUCUUCACAGGGUGAUCCUCACAGAAACACUCAAAGCCUUCUGUUACGUACAAAGGACCGCGUGUCAGUAAUCUACAGCCAUUUACCAGUUACCAAGAAAACACGGACGUUUCCACUAAAAAUCGCAAACGUUUCUUUCAAGCAAGGAGCGCCCUGCGCCAGAGGCUGUGGGAGGAGUGAGGAGUCUGGGUUCGUUCCAGCCGCAGCUCUCUGAAGACAAGCCUGUGGGUCAUGAUUUCCCGCUCCCCCAGCUCGUGCUGCACGGCAGCUCAGCAGCAGGUCUGCUCCUCUGUGCUGAACUGAAGGGAGCCGAGUGCUCGCCCUCCGUCCGGGCCGGAGCUCAGAUCGUCCUGCCUCACGUACAAGAAGUAACCAGUUCUUUGGCCUUCAGACUCCCUGUUUCACUGGAUGAGGACAGCUCUGUGCCAGAGAAUGAGCUGGGAUCUGCCCUGACAAGUGGAGCCUCGUUUGAAAGUGUCGGUAACAGGCUCUGUGUCUGAACCAAAGUUUCCCUUGCAACCUGGUGUGGCUGCAUGAUGGAGUUUGGGCCGUGACAUAUGGUGGGUUUGACGUGUGCCACUCUUAGGGCCAACUUCUAAAGCCUCCAAGACACAGCCCCAUGCCCUGUGCCCUUCUGCAGCUCAGAGCAGAUGAGCCCAGUGACCUUGAGGCCCUUGAAGAUGGUGGAACCAGGAGACAUGAGGGGCCUUGGCCUGGAAACACAACUCGAAGGGAAAUCACUCAUCUGGAAAACGUGUUUGGACCCAUACCACACCGUGGCAAAUACCUGGUAAAACUGUCAUCUGAAAUUGCUUGGAAAUAGGACACUACCACCUAAACCCACAGCUCGUAGGCCAGGGCACCUCAACUGUAGUCCCCAGACCAGCAGCAUCGGUGUUACCUGGAAAAUUAAAAAUGCAAAGUUUUGGGCCCACUUCAGACCCCAGGUCAGAAAUUGUGGGUUGCAGAAAUCUGUGUUUUAAUAACCCUUCAGAUGACUGUGGUGCCCGACAAAGUUGAAAUGCCUGCUCCCAUGUGUGCUGGGUUUAGUUUGUGCUUUAGCAAAGCGGGAUAAGAAAGAAAGGAGGCCAGGAUGGAAUUCGCUGGUUUCCAACUAGAAGUGACAGAAAAUAGAAAGAGUCCAGUAAUGUGAGGUCUUGAAGUGUUGGGAGAAUUCAUUCAUCACUUCUAGAUUCCAGACAAUCAGAAAUAAAAUUUUAAAAGUCUUUCAAUGACAAACUAAGACUUCUCAGUUGGGAAAAAAAAAAAAAAAGGACUCAGUCUUGUUGCAGACAUGAGAUGAAGAGUGUGGUCUUUUCACAAAUGCCUGUGCAAGGGAGUCAAGGACAGAAGCCAUCCGGUGGGCUCCUUGGCACGGGGGCGGCUGAAGCAAACCAACCAGGAGCCCACGCAGCUGUCAAGGGCUUGUGUCAGCAAGUAAAGCCUAGACUGCUUGUGACUGUGAAGUGUAAAAGUGCCCCUGGGUCCUCAGGCCUGUGGACAGGACAAAGCCAAAGCCGCCCAGCGCCGUGUGAUGCGGCCACAGAGAACACGAGCCUCGGGAGAGAGGAGCCUGGGGCUGGAAAACAAGGGUGAAGGACGCUCCCCUCUGGCUGCAGGAGAGGGGCUGCUGAGGGCAAGAUCCAUCAUUUCUUGGGACCAAUGAUGCUGCUUCCUACUCUCUGCUUUCUGCCUGGGAGUUUUGUCUGGGACGCCUGUGUCUGCCCCACUCACUGUGUGGUGCAAGCUCCAUUUCCAGUGAGGACAACCGUGGCUGCCGAGAGCACCUUACAAGCCAGGCAUCCUCCUCUGAGCUCAAGGCAGCCUUGAGAAGUGGGACGAAGACUUCCUUCACGGGAAGAGGAGCGGCUCAGAGAAAGGAAGAGGCUAGUCCAGAACCACCACGUGGACAUCUUCUGUGAAGGCAAGGGCUCACCCUCACCCUGACGCCAGCCACCUGCCCCUCUUAAUAGGAGGGCGGGCCCUCCCCGCACAGCAGGCACUUCACUGCAGGCUCUGCUGCCUUUGGGAAAUGUGCCUCCCUUGUAGAGCUCUGUGGUGCAGAUUCGGCUAUCAAAGGAGUAGAACCCCCCCCUCCCCCCCGCCACCGUCCCACCCCCACAGAGCAGCUAAGAAAGCUGUUUGAUUUAACCCGUGGUUUCCCAAAUACUUUAGACCACUAAUUAAUUUUGUUUUCUGAAACAUUCGUUAAUAUGUUCACAGAAAAUUGUGGCAUUCACUUUGGAAAAUAUAUCUGUUUAAGAACAGAUAAUGAAUACAUAACAAAUUUAGAACUGUGUUAAGAUUCCAUAACUAAAACCACUCUAAACUUUCUGAAAUGGCUGAAAACGUUUCCCUAACUUUUCUGAAAGUACUUGCUGGGCUUCUUGGAGACUGAAUCAUCCCUUUUGAGCCCACUUAGGGGAAAGUUCAAAAGACCUCAGAGAAGACAAAAAGCAGGGCAAGAGAGACGGCCCAGUCUUCUAGCUCUCCACUGGAGAAAAUGCAUGUGGGAAAGGCUGGGGGUUUCCAUCCUCAAUAUUUAGUAAAAGAUAAAGUAAAAAUUACAACUGCCUUCUGAAUGGCUCCCCUCCCCUGACUUCAUGGGAGUGAUGACUCAGCCCUCUGUUUUGUAACUGCGGAGAUUGAAAGUGGAGACGGGACCUUUGGCAUUUCAGAAAAUGUCGACGCCGCUUUCUUCUGCUUUCUCCGGGACCCCUCUGGGGCCUCGCCUCCUCCCCUCCCGCUGAAAGCCUGCUGUGAAAGGAGCAAGGAUGUGAAAAAGAUGUACGACUCUUUGCUUCCUUAUGCUCGGCCCAAGUUUAUCAAAAGCUGUGGAGUUUGCUAAAAUAAUCCAGGGAAUUCGCCUGGAAAUGGUUUUUUUUUUUUUUUUUGGUUGUUGUUUGUCUUCACUUGUUCCAAAGAAGCAAAAUAAGACAGGGGCUGCCCCUUGUCCUGUCUCAUUCAUUUUUGACACCCUUGUUUCUCCACACAGGCCCUGGGGUGAAGGGCACAGGUGGGAUUCAGAAUAGAAAUGACUCGAGGGACGCAAGGAGUUGGGAUCAGAAGAAGCAGCAGAAACUCCUGCUCUGCAGACACAGCAGACAUUACUGGGAAAGACACCAGAGACCCAGGAGUUCACCCAAGUCCUCUGCACACUGUCUUCCCAGCCCUCUCUCCUGGAUCUGAGAUGAUUUCACUUAAAAACACAAGCCUUUGCUUAAAGGUAGAUGAACAUUCCUUUCAGUUUCUAAGAUGGGGGGCCCACGGUCCUAGGCGCUGAGUCAGAAACUUUUUAGAUGUCCCCAGAGUGCACAGGUUUAAGGACAGAGGGAGAUUCUCAGUCUUCCUGGGUCCUCCCUGUCUCUCAGCCCAGUCAUCACACUCUAAAUCCCAGGGACUUGACUCUGCCUUCCAAUAGUUCUCAGAUCCACCUACUUUGCUCCCUUCUUUCAGAGCGCAGGUAGCCACUUGCUCUCCCAGAGAGUGCUGCAGCGGUGAUGAUCGGUUUCCCCCCUCCCCACCUGCUCAGUCCUGCAAAGCCUGGACUCUGCUCCAAGGCCUUUGGGACCCAACACCUGCUUUCCAGCCUCAGGGCCUCAGGCCUGAGACCACAGGGGCUCUUCCCGGCGGCUGUACCUCCUGCCAUUCACCUGCUGAUUUCUUCCUCAUCUGUUUAUUCCUCUGAUCCAACAAGGUCAGGAUGGUAUGCAACCGCCACCCCCCCCCCACUGCCCCCACCACCACAGCACUGCCACGACCCUUGUCUGGGACGGAUGAUGUGGGGCUGCACUUCCUCUGUCGGCCCCCUGCCCUCGUCAGGAGGCCCAGCAUGUAGCAGGCAAGCAGCAGGCAGCAGGCAGGUGCUGAGUGGGUGUGGAAGGUGUGGCCCCUCACACCUCUGUGUCCUAUGCUCAGCGCUGUGCUUGGGCAUGGCGAGGCCUCAGCAGAUACUGUGCAGCACAGUGACACCAAUGGAACCCAGUAAAAAGACAGUUUCCAAUUUUCCUCGCUGCUGGGGCCCACCCAGAUCCUGGAGCAGAGCAUGGCCUGCAGGAAGCACAGGCUGGUGGACUGUGGCUGUGUCACGGCGAGCUUCCAGUGGCUCUCGCAGAACUCAAUUGGCACGGUAAAGGGACAAAUGAAGUUUCCAGCUUUUUUCUUUUAAUAGCUCAGAUAUCAAUUUUAUAGCUCUGAUGGACAUAAUUUAUAAAAUAAGUCUAUAUCUUACUGUAAAUUUGAGACGGUUAACCUUUAAUAAAGUUAAUAAGGGGCUUGUCAAAACUCCUGAGCUGAACUUUGCUUGCUCGUUACAUAAUAACAACGAAGUGAUUUUAACCUAAACUGCAGCUAUUUUGGCCAUUUAAAGGUGAGGAAAGAGAGGGGAUGGGCAGGAAAAGUAGUUUUUCCAUCGUCCUGGAAGAACUGCCAGGUGAAGGUGAUGGGGAGGCUGGCGUUUUAAUUCCUCUAAUGGCUCAGAUCAGCUGCACCUGGGUGUGUGUCCCUUGCUCAUCAGCGCACGCUGGCGGGCCUGCGGAGGCACGAGGUGUCUUUAAGCCGAGAGCAGGAAGCAAAGUUUCUGGAAAAACUGAGGGGCGCAGGGAGCACGGACUGGGUCUUCAGGAGCAGUGUGGCUGAGCUGUGGAAAUGGACACAUCCACUGUCCCAGAUAUUAUGAAAAUGAACCCCUCACUCUGAGCUCUUUCGAGAGGAAUCCUCAAGUAUGGAGCCCAAAGAAAAAGGGCUGUGUCCAUGCCUGGGCUGGGCUCUGCAAGAAUGCACAACAAAUCACCACCCCAGACAAACACUUCCAGGCACCUCCCGACAUACUCCUAAACACUUCCCCAGGCACUCCGGGCGCCUCCCCACACACUCCCAGGCGCCUCCCCACACGCUGCCAGGCGCCUCCCCACAGACUCCCAGGCGCCUCCCCACACGCUCCCAGGCGCCUCCCCACACGCUCCCAGGUACCUCCCCAUGGUCCCAGCUACCUCCCCACAGAUUCCCAGGCGCCUCCCUGCACGUUCCCAGACACCUUCCCAGGCGCUGCCAGCCUCCUCCUGCGCACAGAUCGGGAGGUCCCUGGACUUCCACUUGUUGAGCUGGACUCAAGCCGGAUCGCCUGGAGGAUAUUCUCAGGGCACAGCGGCUGCCUGCGCCUGAGCAGUGCUGAGGAGAUGCCAAGGUCAGGCAUCAGCUUUCAGAGAAUGCAGCUGCGUCAGAGAUGGAGACACGCAGAGCCACGUGUCGUGGAGAAUCUAAGGAAGUUCGCUGGCGCCAGCAGCGGGAAAAGGCCCUGGCUUGAUGAGGGGAACUCGCAGCCUUGCAGCGCGGGUGGGAGCCCCGGGCGGAACCGCAGAAGCAUCCCCGGCCGUGGGGUUUUCUCCUCCAGCUGGAGACGUGGAGGGAGUGGAGCAGAGAUGAGCUGUGAGCUCAGCAGUUCACACAGGACGGGAUGGGGGAGGAGAACCCAGGGAUGGGAGAGAUUGGAGAACAAGGAGCUGCUGGGUCUCAGCCUCGUGUAGACGACAGGGCCUGUGGGGAUGGCCACGCGUGAAUCUGGUCCUGGCGGGGAGCGUCCGGCGCGAUGGGAGGGACCUGCAGCCAGUGAUCCUCCCGUGGCAUCGCUUCUAGAGUUGAGAGGAGAAAGCCAGUAGCUGCCGGUCUCUGGUGGGUCUCACAGAUGCUGGAGCAGGUGUAGGAGGAAGCGCCUCCAGCAGGAGUGACACCCCCAUGCCGCCCAGGAAGGUGUCGCGCCUGUUAGGAGGGAAAGGACUCAGGAUGUGCGUUGCAUGGGGUUGUGAGUGAGUCAGUGGCAGCCCCCCCGCCUCCUCCUCCUGCUUUGACCUGAUGCAGGAUGGACUCAGCACCCCGCCGAAGGCACUCCCAUUCCCCUCUGCAUAUGGUUUUCAUCAUGUGGACCUUCAAUAGCUAUUUUUGAUUGAUGGGUAUUCAGUGGGAUUCAACAUCCGUAAACGUUCUGACCCAAGUCCUGUUGAUCAAUGGCGUCACCGCACGGCCUUUUUGACCCAAGUCUGCACCAUUCUGUCUUUCCUGGAGUCACCCUUCGAGUGCUCUAUGUGACCGUGGCCUCCUGCGGAGUCUGCCCUUGGCUCACGGCUGGACAGACAUUGGCUCUUGGCGUCUCUCAUGUUGGUCACCCCUCCAGCUGCUCUGCAGCAACAAUGCCCCUUUCCAUUCAUAGAAGGUCGUUAUCGUGCUUGCACUCGGGACUGAGUUCACAUUGCCUUCUACCUGCCAGAGAAGCUCUGAGCUCCUGGAGGAAUGUUCCUUUUCUUCUGAUGAAAAAUGACGAGGUGAACCCCUCGUGCCUCGGCGUAAUGUGGUCAUCAGAGGUCGUGAGAAGAGCACAGAAAUGCGUGUUUCUCAUAAUCGCCUGGAUGCUAAUCACUGCGUCAAAACCUCCCGUGAGCCGCUUUCUCCACAGAAUGGAGGUGGCCGGGCGCGGUGGCUCACGCCUGUAAUUCCAGCACUUUGGGAGGCCGAGGCGGGUGGAUCACGAGGUCAGGAGAUCGAGACCAUCCUGGCUAACACGGUGAAACCCCGUCUCUACUAAACAUACAAAAAAUUAGCCGGGCGUGGUGGCGGGUGCCUAUAGUCCCAGCUACUCUGGAGGCUGAGGCAGGAGAAUGGCGUGAGCCCGGGAGGCGGAGCUUGCAGUGAGCUGAGAUCGCGCCACUGCACUCCAGCCUGGACGACAGAGCGAGACUCCGUCUCAAAAAAAAAAAAAAAUGGUGGAAAUGCCCCUUCCUCUAACUGCAGCUGUGCACAUCCCCCUGGGGACAGACCCAAGGCGCCUUGAGAUGCUGAAAGGCGUUCUCUGUGUUCUGAGUGGAAGUACAGCCUGGAAAGUCCACGGAGACUCUGCUCUGAGUGAGCCGAGCUGGACAGAGGGGCUUUUGAGUCAAAGUUUUCUCCUCCUUGCACUUUGCCAGAAAAUCUCAAUUGCUAGUGAGGAAUUCUUUUCCUUUCUUUCCCUAACGAAGUGAGUGAUGAGACUGGCUCUUUUGCAUAUUUGCAGGGAGUAAGCAUUGUCUGGAUUUUCACUGAGUUUACCUCAGCAACUUUUUAAAAACUUUACUCCAAAGGGAGCCAAUGUGCCCUUCCUUUGACGUAGAAAACUAUUAUUUUAAAAUUCUGCCAUUCGGCAUUACUCUGAUUUUUCUGAAUAAUUAGACUCAAAACACUCUGGUUUAUUCCCAUCUCAAAGGUCUUAGGGCAGUGGAUGCCGCCUUUGCUUCUGUUUGCUGCAGCCUGUUUGAGUGGCAGGCUCUUUGCCCUCGUUGGCCAGUCCCCACAUUCUGGUGACGCUUUUCUCCUGCCUCUUGGCCCCCAGUCACAUUUUCCAUGGUGACUCUUUCAACCUCAGCCUUCACGUUUCAAGUCAUGCAUCCACUUUGUUUUCCUGUUUCAGUAGACCCCCCUCUGAGUUUACUGAGCACUUUGAGACCACUUGGUACCAGGGCACAGCCUCCUCAUCUCCAAACGCAUGGGUUCCAUCACAAGCGGGCCUGAUCGCACAUGGCAGCUCUCGUCUCCCAGUUAUUGCAUGCACAUGUGUGUUUGGCCAGGUUGGCUUUAGGUUCAUUAAAGGCAGUGCCUUUUCUUCAUGUUUUAUUUCUCUCCAUCUGCAAUGUGUUGUGGAGUGGAGGCACCGUCCGUUCACGCACUCAGGCCUUCAGAACGUAGCUCCCGAGUGCUUGCUGUGGGCCCCAUUCCACCUGCUGGCUGAGUGGUGAACAAAGCUCAAGGAGCUGCCUCCUCCAAGCGAAGGGAGGACACCAGGCACAACAGCGUAGAGUGUGGAGUCAGGAGCGUUUGGAGAAAAGCAAACAGGAAAGGGAGAUAUAAGUGACAGCCACCUGGUGGUCAGGAGAACAAACUGCCGCCGUGUCUCCACACCCUGUGUGUCCUGAACACCGCUGGGAAGCCGUCAGCAGACGCUCCGCAGGCCACCGGGGCGAUCGGGGCACUAAAGGCCAAGCAGGCUUCACACACUGCCAAAGUCCAGGUGACCAGAGAGUAUGACCGGACACAAAGGAUGCAAUUGUAGAAACUGGUUGGUUGUUUUACCAAGGCUUUGACUGGAAAGUUGUGCUUCCCUUUAAAGAAUCAAGCUUGAUAUGCAGACCCAAUAAAAGCCCCUUGAGAAAACUGGCCUUCAUACCUUGUCAACACAGUCCUGUAUAGGGUUCUUAACCUGUGGUGAGUAAAGAAUGUCACUUUCUAAUAGGCCCAGGAGCCCCAUGUUAUCUUGAAACCUCCGUAAGAGGAAGUUACCCAACUCAUAGGUAUUUGAGGGUAAAAACCCAUGGCUGGGCUCGACUUUAAAAAGUCCUAUCUGAGAUUCUUUGUGGAACAGAGCUCCAUCAAAGCCAAUUUUAAAAGCUUAUGUGAAAAAUAAUUAUUCUUGCUGCACUUUAUGCAAAUGAUCAGUCCAAGUGGAAGACUAAAGUUUAUUUUGCAAACAACUCAGUCCUAUCAUGAUUUGUUUUUGACAAAAAUAAGACUAAAGAGAGAGAAAUUAUGUUUCAAAACUCACCAUAUAGUAGUCAUUAAAUUCCAAUGUCAUCAGUUGUUUUUAAGUUUUUGCUUACAUUUUAGACUAACCCUGCUUAUUCCUGUGAAGCAAACAGUGAUCUCUGGCUGCAGUUCAGAAGAAAGAGAAGGGAUGGGUAAUGCAAAAAUCUGGACCAAUAUUCUAGUUCUAAUUAUUGUGCAAAUCCUGCCAGGUGAUGGGAGUAAAUAGGGUGCCUAUAACCCAGAGGUUUCCUUUUUUGGGAAGAUAAGACCAAGGGAGCUAACCAAAGCUGAGUCCCAUGCACUUAUAUCUUAGCAGGCUUAACUAUAACCACUAGUUAUCCAUGCAUGCCAGCAGCCUUGGUAUUUUUGAGCUGUCCUUUACCCCUUGUUUCAUUUUGAUUCAUGUCCUCUAAUAACUCAGUUUGUCUCUUUUCACCUUCAAGCCAUCAAACUCCAAAUGCUCAUAUAACCGGAACCUCGGACAAUGGUCCCUUCUUCCGGGGACCCUUAGAUAGGCCUCGGAGGAAGCUCUGACUACUGUUUCCCAAAACAGCACCCUCCUGUCAGCAGGAAGCAGUGAAGACUGGUCUUUGUCCUUAUCCUCAUCCUUAUCCGAAUGGCACUUAGAUGUACUUCUUUAGAAAUUGGGCAUGACAGCAGCAGGAGGCAGCCAAUGCCCAGGCAGAUGGGGUGGGUCCCCAGUGAAACCCCACCUCCAAGCAAAAGACAGUUUAAAGCCUGAAAGCCAAGCUACAGGUUAAAUCUUUGGAUCAGAUUGAGAACUUGUCUUCCUGUUUGGCACGCUUUCCUCUGAUUGGUCCCCACCCUUCACCUAUUUUACAUUUACCUACCCUUUCCUAAUUGGUUUUUCUAUGCUGUCAUGCCCACCUUUGAGUGGUGUCUUCCUUUAACCUUUUUUGGAUUCUCACAAACCAAUCAGCAUUCACUCCCCAUUCUGAGUCCAUAAAAGGCCCCGGACCCAGCCAUAUGGAGGAACUUACCCACCUUGGGUAGGAAGACCAACCCCACAUCCCCCCUCUACUGAGAGUUAUUUUCAGCACUCAAUAAUAUUCUUUUCUGCCCUUCUCAUCCUUCAAUGUGCAGAGUAUCCUCAUUCUUCUUGGGCAUGGUACAAGAACUCAGGAACCACCAAACAUGAUACAAGCUAUAACACAGGCCAGUUGGGGCAUGCCAGCAUGGCCGAGUGGGACCCAGGUGGAGCACUGCCAGCUGGGGCUCCCUGCUCUGCAACGUGACUGAGAAUAAAAAUCCUACAUUGGUUUUACGUAACAGAAGGUGAACAUCUGAUAAGAAAGGGUGACAAAAGGAAAAGUCAACCAUGCAGAUGUCUCUGGGUAUGUGGGGGAGUGACUGGUCUCACCUUGACUUUAUUCUGCACCUGGGCAGGUGGGUUUGUAAUUGACACGACCAGUGUGCAACUGAACAGACUUUAGUUUUAGGAGCUGGACUUAGACUGCAGUCCUAAAGUUUCAAUUGGCCUGUCCUCAUUCAUGAGAGGCCAGCAGAGAAUUCACGCAGGGAUCAUCUGUGUGGGCAGCUUUUCCAGAUGCCUGAGGCCUUUCCCAUUCUCUUUGGGUCUGGCUGAUACAUGAUGUUAGUGACAGUCAAUUCAUUUGGAAGAGGGAGUGCAAUGACUUUCCCUUUUGCAUAAGAAGUUUUGGGGGUACUGAGAUUUUUAGUUUCCUUUACAAGACCUUCCCGCAAAUAAGUACAAGAGGACCCAGAGUGUGGGGUGUCUGGCUGUCUGAGCAGUUGGGCCACUGACGCUGAGGACAAUGUGAGAAAGCCUGUCCUGGUGGAAGGGAGAGCAAAGGUGGAGAGAAAGGAAGCUCCAUGUUAGUUUUUGAAACACACCACAGCUGAAGGUCAGUCCCCAAAGCUGGUUAUGGUUGAAAGGGAGGAAAAGCUGCUCCCACGUGGCUCUGGCUGAGGCUUCCGAGACUCUGCAGGUGGGGGCCGUCUGUCUUCCCCAGGUGGGAGCUACUUCUUUUUAGAAGCAGGCUCCACGGCGGUUUUCAGGUGUGGCCUUGCCCAGCGUCCCGAUGUUUUGCUUCCUGCCUGGCCUCGGCGCUCUUUGAUGACCUCCUCUUGCCACACACUGUGGUCUCCAUAGGCUGCCCACUGCUGAUCCGAGGCUGGUGGCCCCCAGCACACGUGGGUUUCUGAGGAACACGCUGAGACUCUCGGGCCAUGCCGUGACACAGGGGAGACAGCGUCUGCUCUUUUUCCAUUUUUGUUCGUUUUCAGUGCUCUGACCCUCAGGAAGCCCACUUAAGCAUCCCAGAAUCCAGACGGCCGUGAACAAAGCUGCUGUGGUUUGGGGCUGCAAAACUGGCCCACAGCCCACCUGGAUAACUGAAUCGAACAUGCCUCAGCCGCCCUCACCACAGGCACCAUCCCCCUCACAGAAGUUUGAUGUCUGAUCAUUCAGCACUGGCUGAGCCUCAGAGCUAAAAUGGAAAAUGCAUUUUAUGAGCAGAUAACACAUUUUUGGAAUGGCUACUUUAAACAUUGUGGAUACAGAUUCACAGAGACUAUUUUUAGAUGAAUUAUUUCUUCUAUUUACCAUACUGAUUUGCUGGAAGAAAGAAAAACAAUAUUUUAAAAAGGGAAAACAUUCUUUAAAAGCAGUGACUCUAAAUUUCCCCUGAAGAGCAAAAUGCUGUCUGUGUCUCACUCAAUGUGGUGGCUGCUACAGGAGGAUCUUCCCAGGCCUUCUCAGGGAAUUCCCAUCAGGAUCACAGGAAUGGUACCUGGCAGACACAACCCAGUCUGCACCUUCCAUGGGCCACAGCUGAUGGUACGAGGAGAGGUGUGACAUCUGCCUGACCUCAGAAAUCUAAAUCAUUCCUUUUGCAACAAAACAAUAACAGUGGAGUGCGUUCCCUGAGUUUUUGGAGAGAAAAGAAAAAUAAAGUUCAGAGGCAAAACUUGGUAGAAAUUCUGAAGCCUGGAUGACAGUGAUGACUCCGCGCAGCAGGAACGUCGCGGGCCUUGCCUGGCCACGUCCUCUUGGCUGGAGGCAUGAGUGUUUAUGCCAGGCUGAAGAAGUCACUUGAACUCAUGUCCUUUGACUGAACAUUUUUUAUGAGACCUGCAUAAAUCAUUUCUUUAAAAAUGGCAUCCUGGGCAUGGAGGCAGUCUGCUUUUUGCAAGAAUUCUUAUGGGCAAAGUCUCUUCAGAUGAGAAUGAUUCUGCUUUAAUUCCCUCUGCCUUCUGCCCUUGGGUAAGCUCACUGUGUCUCCUUAAACACUCUGGCUUUAACCAGUUUCUGCGUAUCAUUCAGACCAACAUUCCUCUCAGUUAUCAGUCAACUGAGAGACUGAGAAAUAAAGUCAAUAGAAUGAAAAGAAAAUAGUCAUAUACAGUAAGCUCGAUUUUCUUCCUACCGCUUCCUCAUAUCUUUGCCAAGUCAAACCAAACUACCUCCUUCUAGAAAUUUGUCUUAUAAAUUAUCUUCAUGACCUUCAGGAAGCUAAUAUAUUUUAAGGUGUACAAAGCACUAAAAAUACUGAUUAAAAGAUCAAUUGGACUUCAGCAGAAUUUAGAACUUCUGUUCAUCAGAUGACAACCUUAAGAAAGUGAAAAGAUAAGUGCUUUCAUUAGUUCCCACAACACAGGAGGAAGCCCUAGAAAAUCAAUCAGAAAAACACAAUCCAAUUUAAAAGCUGAGCAAUAGCCUGUGUGGGCACUUCACAAAACGGGAUAUCCCAAUGGCCAGGGAGCUAUGAGGAGGUGAUCAAGAUCAUUUGUUUUCAAGAAAAUGAAAAUUAAAUCCACAGUGAGGGAGAAUUGCACACUCACCAGGAUGCGUAAGGCUAAAGAGACUGAAAAUGCCAACUUCUGGGGAGGACUUGGUGAUGAGAACUCACCUAUUGCUCUGGGAAUAUAAAGUGGUUCCACCAUUCUGGAAAAAUUCUUCAGCAAUAUUUACUAAAUUUAAAGAUAUGCCUAUCCUAUGACCCGAAAUCCUGCUCCUAGCUCUAACUAUGGGAAAUGAGUGGCGCAGUCCACAAAAGGACAUGUGCAAGAACAUCCAUAGCAGCUUUAUGCACAGUAAAUCCAAACUGGACACAACCCAAAUGCUCAGAACAAGAGAAGAAAUAAAUACAUUUUUAUAGCCUUGCAAUGGAAAACUAUAGUGUGAUAAAACAAUAAACCACGAGUGUACCAAGAAUAUUGAUGUUUGUUUCACAACAAACAUGUGCGUGAAAGAAGCCAGACACAGAAGAGUUCCCACUGUCUGGUUCCAUUUCCACAAAGUCCAAAACAGACACAACUAACUGAUAAUGACAAAAAUCAGAAGACUGGUGAUCUCCAGACGGAGGUAUAGACUUAAAAGGGGCCAAGGGAAAAUAAGGGGAAUAUGAACCCCACUCAAAGGUUUCACACACAAAGAGGCAGAGUAGAUACAGAGUGAAUAAAUACAUUAUUUUCAUGUGCAUACAAUAGAUCAAGUAAUAAAAUUCUGAGAGCCGCACAUAUGUUAUUUAGUUCAUACAAAAACCCUGGGUUUAUUCUGAACCCACCUAUGAGAUCACAUGGAGAGACUGGCUCCACCUGUGAGAUCACAUGGAGAGACUGGCUCCACCUGUGAGAUCACAUGGAGAGACUGGCUCCACCUGUGAGAUCACAUGGAGAGACUGGCUCCACCUGUGAGAUCACAUGGAGAGACUGGAUCCUGAAACACAAGGGUGUGCUGCAUUUCUGGAUACCAUCGCAGACCUUUGCAAGCAGUUCCAUGAAACAAGAAAGGAGCAUUAGGAUCAAUGGCAUGAGAUUUAAUUAAAUUUGCAUUGGUUUUUCUACGUUGACUUUCACUUUGCAACCAAAGAACACCAUUCUCCCUGGCAUUGUGGUAAUUUAAAAGUGCCGGGGAGGUGUGGCUCACUAAGCUAAA
rnacentral:lncRNA from 1 species